rnacentral:lncRNA from 1 species
ACCAACUCAGCCAAUGUGUCAGUUGACCAAACUAUCUGAGCGAGCCAGGGAAGAUCAGCAAAAGAACCACCCGGCUGAACCCAGCCCAAACUGCAGGCCCUCAGAAUGCAGCCCAAACUGCAGGCCCUCAGAAUGGUGAGCUGAGCCACAACUGUCCUUCUAACCUCUCAAGUUUUGUAUACCACAAAACUGAUAUUCAAUGUGAUAUGUAAACAUUCCCUCUCCCCGGAAAAGGUGUUCUAUCUAAAAACAUUCUACACCUAGAUC